AACGAACGCUGGCGGCAUGCCCAACACAUGCAAGUCGAACGAGACCUUCGGGUCUAGUGGCGCACGGGUGCGUAACGCGUGGGAACCUGCCCUUAGGUUCGGAAUAACUCCCCGAAAGGGGUGCUAAUACCGGAUAAUGUCCUCGGACCAAAGAUUUAUCGCCUUUGGAUGGGCCCGCGUUGGAUUAGCUAGUUGGUAGGGUAAAAGCCUACCAAGGCGACGAUCCAUAGCUGGUCUGAGAGGAUGAUCAGCCACACUGGGACUGAGACACGGCCCAGACUCCUACGGGAGGCAGCAGUGGGGAAUAUUGGACAAUGGGCGAAAGCCUGAUCCAGCAAUGCCGCGUGAGUGAUGAAGGCCUUAGGGUUGUAAAGCUCUUUUACCCGGGAUGAUAAUGACAGUACCGGGAGAAUAAGCUCCGGCUAACUCCGUG
rnacentral:rRNA from 1 species